GGAUAAACGCUGGCGGCGCACAUAAGACAUGCAAGUCGAACGGAAGUCGUUGUAAUGAUAUAGACAUGGACUGAGAACUUGUUCAAAGAAAGUGAAAGUUGACUUACAACAAUGGCUUUAGUGGCGGACUGGUGAGUAACACGUAAGCAACCUGCCUAUCAGAGGGGAACAACAGUUAGAAAUGACUGCUAAUACCGCAUAUGCCUAAGUACCACAUGGUACAAUAGGGAAAGGAGCAAUCUGCUGAUAGAUGGGCUUGCGUCUGAUUAGAUAGUUGGUGGGGUAACGGCCUACCAAGUCAACGAUCAGUAGCCGGACUGAGAGGUUGAACGGCCACAUUGGGACUGAGAUACGGCCCAGACUCCUACGGGAGGCAGCAGUCGGGAAUAUUGCGCAAUGGAGGAAACUCUGACGCAGUGACGCCGCGUGCAGGAAGAAGGUUUUCGGAUUGUAAACUGCUUUAGACAGGGAAGAAUAAAGACAGUACCUGUAGAAUAAGCUCCGGCUAACUACGUGCCAGCAGCCGCGGUAAUACGUAGGGAGCGAGCGUUAUCCGGAUUUAUUGGGUGUAAAGGGUGCGUAGACGGGAAAUUAAGUUAGUUGUGAAAUCCCUCGGCUUAACUGAGGAACUGCAACUAAAACUGGUUUUCUUGAGUGCUGGAGAGGAAAGUGGAAUUCCUAGUGUAGCGGUGAAAUGCGUAGAUAUUAGGAGGAACACCAGUGGCGAAGGCGACUUUCUGGACAGUAACUGACGUUGAGGCACGAAAGUGUGGGGAGCAAACAGGAUUAGACACCCUGGUAGUCCACACCGUAAACGAUGGAUACUAGGUGUAGGGUGUGAUAAACAUUCUGUGCCGUCGCAAACGCAAUAAGUAUCCCACCUGGGGAGUACGGCCGCAAGGUUGAAACUCAAAGGAAUUGACGGGGGCCCGCACAAGCAGUGGAGUAUGUGGUUUAAUUCGACGCAACGCGAAGAACCUUACCAGGGCUUGACAUAUACAGGAAUAUAUAAGAGAUUAUAUAGCUCUUCGGAGUCUGUAUACAGGUGGUGCAUGGUUGUCGUCAGCUCGUGUCGUGAGAUGUUGGGUUAAGUCCCGCAACGAACGCAACCCCUGUUCUUAGUUGCCAGCACGUAAUGGUGGGAACUCUAAGAAGACUGCCGGUGAUAAAUCGGAGGAAGGUGGGGACGACGUCAAAUCAUCAUGCCCUUUAUGUCCUGGGCUACACACGUACUACAAUGGCUAUUACCGAGGGAAGCGAAGCCGCCAGGUGGAGCAAAACCCAAAAAAGUAGUCUCAGUUCGGGAUUGAGGCUGAAAUCGCCCUUCAUGAGCCGGAAUUGCUAGUAAUGGCAGGUCAGCAUACUGGCGUGAAUACGUUCCCGGGCCCUGAAACAACGCCGGUACACCAGAGAGUUGGGGAUACCUUUAGUCUGGGAGCUAACUUUUAAAGCAACCUUCGGAGGGAGAUCAAUGAUUGGGGUAAGUGGAACAAGGUAUCUU
rnacentral:rRNA from 1 species